GUCAUAAUAUCUCUUCGCUAUUUCACGUUGGUCCCGAAUUUCUCUUCAUUCUUGCGUUCUUCUUCGGAGAGUAUUCUCUUCUUCAGAGCUCACCAUCAACCGUAAGCUUCCUUUCUCUUCACAAAUUCCUCAUCUUAUUUCAUAUUUCUUCAUUGCCUCAGCUUAUUCAACAACAAAUUUCCUCUUCCACCGAUGAUUUUCAUCUCCUUUUAAGGGUUACUGCGAAGGUUAUCGCACUUACGUUUUGGUAGAAUCUCUCUCGAUCUAUAAUUCCUCGUUAUUCCGCUGCGUUUCAUUCUCGGAGAAGUUUCAAGGACCUUUAAAUCAGAUCUUGUCGCGUAUUUAGUCCUCUUCCUUGGAGCCUCUUCCAUGAGGUGGUAAUCAGAGCUUUGGUUCUUCCACGCGCUUCAAAAGCUAAGUGCCAAAUUGUACCAGACAACUCCAUUUCAUGCAGAAUGUACCAGACAAAUUGUAUUGCAGUAAACUUUUCCAAUUAUGAAUUGGCAGAUAGCACAUAAUUUUUAGCCUGGUGUACUGAUCAUCAAACAGCUAAUUUCAGAAUAAACACUGCAUAAUUUCAGAAUAUAUUUUCAAUCAAACUGCUUGGUCCUAUGUCCUAACUAGAUUACUCAAUAUUCUCUACUGUAUAGAGUAUUGGUAAGGGGGUGUUUGUGAUGAUAACUUGUAACAUGUCCUAGUAUGUGACAGUGGCACUAACUUUCUUAUUUAUAAUUUUAGCAAAGGAGCUGGAAAAUUACCAUCUGCAUUUCCGAUCUUGACUUCUUAUCGUGUUCCUUAGUGGAUGAACAAGACGCUACACUCUCGUAGUUCCAUGAAGCCAAAUUCAUAUUUUUGACCGUCGCUCCUUUGCUAUUUUUGAGCCUCUUUUCUACAGCACUUAGUUAAUCUACCUUCUUCUUCAGCUCUCCUUCUAACUGAGAUAUUUUUUCCUUCAUAUUUUCUUUCUCUGUUUGUUCCACGUGCAAGUUACGUUUUAAUUCAUUGUGCUGGGUCUUAAAGAUUUCUAAUGCUGACGUUAGGUUGUCAAACCUUAUCUCCUCAUCAUUGUUCUCUUGCAUUAACAUCCUAGUCAUGAGCUCUGUUGGAUCAGCUUUAGAUAAUGCAUGCUCUUCUAGCAUCAGUUUUCUAAUUUCAAUUCUGAGCAAUUGAAUUUGCUUUGUUAAUGCCUUAUCCUUUUCAUCCCUUUUCCUUUGUACUUCUUCAAGUUGCUUGGACUUGAUCUCUAGUUCUUGAGACAUCAUUUCCACUUUCUUUUCUUUUGAAUCUAUUUGGUUCAAGAGCUGUUGAAGUUUUAAUUCAUUCUGAUUUGUAACAAGCCUGAGCUCUUCAUUACAUUUCUGGAGGAUUUCUUCCAUGAGUUUGUUCUGCUUCUGCAAUUCAUCAACUUCUGCAUAAGCUUCCAGGACCUUCUUUUCGUUUUCUUCUACUUUCAAUGUCAUUUCAGCUGAAAGACUUCGAUAUUCAUCCUCUUUACACCAUGUCUUUUUCUUUUUAUUCAUAAUGACAACUGAACAUUAAUAGCAUCUCUCUUUACACCAUGUCAAGAUCUUGGGCUUUAUUUGGGGUAAAAUGGACUGUUUUUUUUUUCCUUGUGUCAUUCUUAUGGUGGCUCAGUUGCACUCUUCCGAUGCUUUGGUUCUCCCACCACUUCGGGUUGGGCCUGGAUCUGUCUUGCGUGGUCCAUNGGAGAAUGCAACAACUGAUGAUGUUACUCCAAAGCUUUACUGUGACAAUAAAGAUUGCCCCUACGAAUUACUUCACCCCCUAAUGAUUGCAAUGUGAACUCUUCCCUAUCUUUCACACUUCAGAUAUGUAGAGUCGAGGAUAUCCUUGUUGAAGGCCUUAUAGAAGGUUCUGUGAACUUGGUAUUGGAAGUGGAAGUGGCAACUCUACUUAUAUCACAGCUGGAGGUGGUAUCCUGAGUUAGUAGAAACUUGGCCAAAAUUGAAAAGUAUAUGUAUAUUAAUGUAAUAUUUAGAUUUAAUGUAUAGUUUAAUGUAUACAUGAUAUAUUAAAUAUUAUUAGACAAUUUAAUUUUUGGAACGAAUUCUAUUUUAUUAGUUUCA